CCUACGGGCGGCAGCAGUAAGGAAUAUUGGUCAAUGGACGCAAGUCUGAACCAGCCAUGCCGCGUGGAGGAUGAAGGUCCUCUGGAUGGUAAACUGCUUUUAUUUGGGAAGAAACUCCCGAUUUCCAUCGGGAUUGACGGUACCAGAUGAAUAAGCACCGGCUAACUCCGUGCCAGCAGCCGCGGUAAUACGGAGGGUGCAAGCGUUACUGGGAUUCACGGGGGUGUAAGGGUGCGGGGGAGGGCGUGUAGAAAUCUCCGGGCUUAACCCGGCAACUGCCAUUGAUACUAUUUGUCUUGAAUACUCUGGAGGUGAGCGGAAUAUGUCAUGUAGCGGUGAAAUGCUUAGAUAUGACAUAGAACACCCAUUGCGAAGGCAGCUCACUACGGAAAUAUUGACGCUGAGGCACGAAAGCGUGGGGAUCAAACAGGAUUAGAUACCCCGGUAGUC
rnacentral:rRNA from 1 species